rnacentral:rRNA from 1 species
CUUGAAUCUAAUAAGAGGUCCAGCCUGCCCAGUGAAAUUAUUCAACGGCCGCGGUAUCCUAACCGUGCGAAGGUAGCGUAAUCACUUGUUCUUUAAAUGAGGACUAGUAUGAAUGGCACCACGAGGGUUCUACUGUCUCCUUUUUAAAAUCAGUGAAACUAAUCUUCCCGUGAAGAAGCGGGAAUUUUUUUAUAAGACGAGAAGACCCUAUGGAGCUUUAAACAAAUGACAUUUGCUUCACCCAACACUUUUACCUGCAAGAAAUAUAGCAUUAUGAUCCUUAGUUUUCGAUUGGGGUGAUCACGGAGUAAAAUUUAACCUCCACGCCGAAAGGGUUUAUACCCUAAGCAAAAAGCUACAGCUUUAAGCACUAAAAAAUUAACGUAGUUUGACCCAAUACUUUGAUCAACGAAC